ACAUGCANGUCGAACGGNCGCACGGGAGCAAUCCUGGUGGCGAGUGGCGAACGGGUGNUUAAUAUAUCGGAACGUGCCCAGUCGUGGGGGAUAACGUAGAGAAAUUUACGCUAAUACCGCAUACGAUCUAAGGAUGAAAGCGGGGGAUCGCAAGACCUCGCGCGAUUGGAGCGGCUGAUAUCAGAUUAGGUCGUUGGUGAGGUAAAAGCUCACCAAGCCGACGAUCUAUAGCUGGUUUGAGAGAACGACCAGCCACACUGGGACUGAGACACGGCCCAGACUCCUACGGGAGGCAGCAGUGGGGAAUUUUGGACAAUGGGCGAAAGCCUGAUCCAGCAAUGCCGCGUGUGGGAAGAAGGCCUUCGGGUUGUAAACCACUUUUGUACGGAACGAAAAGGUCUGCCCUAAUACGGUGGGCCCAUGACGGUACCGUAAGAAUAAACACCGGCUAACUACGUGCCAGCAGCCGCGGUAAUACGUAGGGUGCGAGCGUUAAUCGGAAUUACUGGGCGUAAAGCGUGCGCAGGCGGUUAUAUAAGACAAGUUGUGAAAUCCCCGGGCUCAACCUGGGAAUUGCAUCUGUGACUGUAUAGCUAGAGUACCGUAGAGGGGGAUGGAAUUCCGCGUGUAGCAGUGAAAUGCGUAGAUAUGCGGAGGAACACCGAUGGCGAAGGCAAUCCCCUGGACCUGUCUUGACGCUCAUGCCACGAAAGCGUGGGGAGCAAACAGGAUU
rnacentral:rRNA from 1 species